CACGCCGUAAACGAUGUCUACUAGUCGUUGGGUCCCUUGAGGACUUAGUGACGCAGCUAACGCAAUAAGUAGACCGCCUGGGGAGUACGGCCGCAAGGUUAAAACUCAAAUGAAUUGACG
rnacentral:rRNA from 1 species